rnacentral:rRNA from 1 species
AAAGUUUCCAGCUUGUCUGGGUUAGGACUUUGAAGACGUGGAGUCCAAUGAGAAUUAGGUUGUAGCUCCAGCGUUGGAAAGAACAGCUAUGCUUGAGAGUUUCUUUUUAAUGCGACAAUAGGGAUUCCAUAAAAGAAGAAGAACGGUUAGUUAAACCUAGGAAGCAAAUGUAUAAACAUAAUGGAAUUUUCUUUUCGAAUUAGAGAAAAGGACAGCGGGGUUGGUUUUAUGGAAAGUUAGAGAAUUUCUAAUUGGAAGGGAGGGAUCUUUAACCCAAACAUCACUUUUAGAUAUCCCAGAAGAGCAGAAAAUUUGGAUAAAAACGAAAAAAUGUUUUUUUAUUUUAAGUUGAAAAAAAGGCCUCUGUCGAAUUUGGAGUAACUUAGCAAGUAAGGUCGUAGUUAAUUUUCUGAUAACUAAUACGAUGGAAGCGUGCCAGUCUUAUGGCGCCGAGAA